rnacentral:misc_RNA from 1 species
CAAAUGCUUUCGACUUUCAAGGAUCCUCGAGAUCGCUUGUGGCUUGCUCUUUUUCCUGAAGGGGCUGAUUUUACAGAACUGAAAUGUCUAAGGAGUAAAAAAUUUGCAGCUGAAGUUGGACUUCCUGUGCUGACGAAUGUGCUGCUUCCAAAAACAAAGGGUUUUUGUCUUUGCUUGGAAGUGCUUCGGAGUUCCUUGGAUGCAGUUUAUGAUAUAAGUAUUGCAUACAAGCAUCAAUGCCCUACCUUUUUGGACAAUGUAUUUGGUGUGGAUCCUGCAGAAGUCCACAUUCACAUUCGACGUAUCCCAGUCAAGGAUAUCCCAGCAUCUGAUAGUGAGGCUGCUACCUGGUUAAUGAAUACCUUCCAGCUCAAGGAUCGAUUACUAUCAGAUUUCAAAAUUCAUGGCCAUUUCCCUAACGAAGGAACAGGAGAAGAACUUUCUACAUUGAAAUGCUUGGUAAAUCUUAUGACGGUAAAGGGCGAAUAAUCUAUUUGACGGUAAAACUUAUUCCCUUGGCCUUUUAUAGCAUUGAAGUUUAUCACCAAAAUGAUUGAUGUAAAACAAAGAAUCUUGAUCACUUAUACCAUGAAA